UACGGAGGGGGCAAGCGUUGUUCGGAAUUACUGGGCGUAAAGGGCGCGCAGGCGGCUGCUCAAGUCAGGCGUGAAAGGCCUGGGCUCAACCCGGGAAUUGCGCUUGAGACUGGGCUGGCUUGAGUGCGGGAGAGGAUGGUGGAAUUCCCAGUGUAGAGGUGAAAUUCGUAGAUAUUGUGAGGAACACUAGUGGCGAAGGCGAGACUCUGGACAGUUCCUGACGCUGAGGCACGAAGGCCAGGGGAGCAAACGGG
rnacentral:rRNA from 1 species